CAGAUGUGUCUCAAUGUCGAUCUGUCGGUUGUAGCUCUGGGUCGAAAGUAUCCUGUAUUCCUGGCCCCACCGUCCAAGUACGAUGCUUCAACCAAAAGGAUGGGUGCGAAAAACCGUGGGGAUCUUUUUGCGGCAGGCAAGCUUUCAUCGUAUGCAUAGAUGGCUCCGAGAUCUGCAUUUGUCAUUGUGCGCCUUUGGGAACCGAUAUCAAUAAACAGUUUCCGAACUGGACAUCAGUUACCUGGUCAUCAGGAAGCGGAAAAUGACUCCACAGGCUCUUUUUAUUAUUAUGAUUAUUGUCGCAGCAAGUCUACAUAUGUGUACACUUGUGAGCUGGCUUCACACCAAGAUGUGAAAGCAAU